UACGAGGGGGGCAAGCGUUGUUCGGAAUUAUUGGGCGUAAAGGGUGCGUAGGCGGUUUGGUAAGUCUUAUGUGAAAUCUACAGGCUCAACUUGUAGUCUGCAUGAGAAACUGCCGGGCUUGAGUAUGGGAGAGGUGAGUGGAAUUCCUGGUGUAGCGGUGAAAUGCGUAGAUAUCAGGAGGAACACCUGUGGCGAAAGCGGCUCACUGGACCAUAACUGACGCUGAGACGCGAAAGCGUGGGGAGCGAACCGG
rnacentral:rRNA from 1 species